rnacentral:tRNA from 1 species
CCUGGUGGCUCAGAGGCUAAUGUGUCUGCCUGGAAUGCAGGAGACCCGGGUUCGAUCUCUGCAUCAGGA